GUGUGUGUGUGUGUGAGUGUCAGGGGUGCAGUGUGUGUGUGUGUGUGUGUGUGUGCAGUGUGUGUGUGUGUGUGUCAGGGGUGCAGUGUGUGUGUGUGAGUGUCAGGGGUGCAGGGGUGCAGUGUGUGUGUGUGUGUGAGUGUCAGGGGUGCAGUGUGUGUGUGUGUGUGUCAGGGGUGCAGUGUGUGUGUGUGAGUGUCAGGGGUGCAGUGUGUGUGUGUGAGUGUCAGGGGUGCAGUGUGUGUGUGUGUGUGUGAGUGUGUGUGAAUGAGGGUGCUGUGAGUGUUUUGGGUGUCUGUGAGGCUGAUGUUAGUUAGGUGAUUAUUUCCCCCCUCCUUGCUUACCUUUAGCCUUGG